AUAGUUGCUUGUACGAGGACAGUGGCAGUGAAAGUGAUGGCAUUAGAAGUGGAACCCAAAGUAGAGCCUCUUGCAACCCCCAGAAGCACCAAGAGACCAAGAAAAAUACCUACCAGGCCCAUUGUGUUCAUUGCUCUCUUGCAGAAACUGGUGAUUGUGCAGCUUCAAAUUUAAUUAACUGCUGAUUGUUCCUGAAGAUAUGCUAAGAGAUCAAGAUUCCAAAAAAAUCCAAAGAACGGGGUUUACAGAAGAAGACUGAGUAUUGUCUGACCUCAAGCUUACGGGAUGCCAGAACAGAACAAGAUUACUGAGAAUGCAACUGAAUUUUAGA
rnacentral:lncRNA from 1 species